CAGCAGUGAGGAAUAUUGGUCAAUGGGCGCGAGCCUGAACCAGCCAAGUCGCGUGAGGGAAGACGGUCCUAUGGAUUUGUAAACCUCUUUUGUCGGGGAGCAAGAAAGGGUAUGCAUACCCUACUGAGAGUACCCGAAGAAAAGCAUCGGCUAACUCCGUGCCC
rnacentral:rRNA from 1 species